CGCGACUUCACUGUCUCUUUUGAAAUCGUCUGAUCGUUUCGCAUGUGUCUCAGUCCCGGUUGUUUCCAUUGAGAUUGUAAAGAGAGAUGGACUCCAGUCCAGCAGCUCUUUGUAUGACUUUUACAUUGGAUAUAUGGAGUCUCCUGAUGUCCCUGCAAGACUGGUCAGAAGGGAUCCAACCAAGAUGAUGGAAAGUCCAGACUGAGCUGAAGAGCCUGUGAGCUGCCAUAAGAGGUUAUGCUCCCAACCAAACGAGCUGACGCAGGAUGACUCCUAAUUGUACAGCGGGAAAAGCUUGUGAGCUGCAAUAAGAUGUUUCGCCAUGCAGCGCUGCGUCUGCUCCCAACUAAACCAGCCGACUGACGACGACUCAUUUUGUCCAGGUAAA